rnacentral:rRNA from 1 species
UGGGGAAUUUUGGACAAUGGGGGAAACCCUGAUCCAGCCAUUCCGCGUGUGCGAUGAAGGCCUUCGGGUUGUAAAGCACUUUUGGCAGGAAAGAAAUCGCGCAAAUUAAUACUUUGCGUGGAUGACGGUACCUGCAGAAUAAGCACCGGCUAACUACGUGCCAGCAGCCGCGGUAAUACGUAGGGUGCAAGCGUUAAUCGGAAUUACUGGGCGUAAAGCGUGCGCAGGCGGUUCGGAAAGAAAGGUGUGAAAUCCCAGGGCUUAACCUUGGAACUGCACUUUUAACUCCCGAGCUAGAGUAUGUCAGAGGGGGGUGGAAUUCCGCGUGUAGCAGUGAAAUGCGUAGAUAUGCGGAGGAACACCGAUGGCGAAGGCAGCCCCCUGGGAUGAUACUGACGCUCAUGCACGAAAGCGUGGGGAGCAAACAGG